rnacentral:lncRNA from 10 species
AUGGCGGCCGCCUAAGUCCCACAGAGACGGGAGUCGGGUGGGAUCCCAGGCUGGGCCCCGCGGCGGUUGAAGAAGUGGGGGCCCUGAAGAUUUCAUGACAUCUACCCAGGUAGGAACAGCUCCUAUAGGCAGUCAGGGGUUACAGGCAGGUUUGGGUCAAAUACCUGAAACCAACCCCAGGACAAGGAGGUUGCUGGUGUUUUAUUAACACCUACUGUGAGCCAAGGACUCUGCUCAGCAGUUUACCCACCCAGUAACACUGCGUGAGAUUGUGGCUGAAGAAACAGAUGCAGAGAGGCGAAGUGAUUUUCCUGAAAUCACAUGGCUAGAAGCUGGAUUCUCUUCCCUGGCCAAGUCUCUGAGAUCUUCUCCCAGGGCGAUGCAAAGCUACUCGCUACCAGCUUGGACCUGUCUGCAGUAUCUCCUCUGGGACCUGCCAUGCUGAGGACCCAUUCUCACCUCUGAGGGACUCCUGUCCUAGGACUAAGGUGGAGCCUGGGCCAUGGUACAGCUGGCUCCUGCGGCAGCCAUGGACGAGGUCACCUUUAGG